AGCAGCUUUAAUCAUUGGCCGUUCUGCUGGAGGAGCAUCCAGGAUUAAUCUCCUGCUGUCGCCGCUCCAGCUGAUCCUCAGUCCUCCACCCCACCGCCGGACUGACGGACGGACGCUUCGCUCUGCAGCCGUUUCCUGCCGCUGUGGGUCGAGGAAUGAAGGCGGCACCAUGGGGUUCAUGGAGUUCUACCUGGAGAUCGACCCGGUCACCCUGAACCUCAUCAUCCUGGUGGCCAGCUACGUCAUCCUGCUCCUCGUCUUCCUCAUCUCCUGCAUCCUGUACGACUGCCGAGGCAAAGACCCCACCAAGGAGUACGCCCCCGACACGGCCCCGCCGCCGCCCAGCCAGUCGCCCAUCCGCCUGGUGGUCAUGCAGAACUCCCCGGCCUCGUCCCGCUACGAGCCCAACAACACGGCCGGACACGAGCUGCCCACGCCCGACCUGAGCCGGGACCGAGGGGAGCGCGAGAAGAGGAGCACCCUGGUCUGAAGGUCCACCUACAUGGAGGGCCAUGGAGGUCCAUGGAGGUCUGCUGGAGGUCGGUUCAACUCCACCGUCUGAUCAGUAAUAAGCUGAGAAAUGAGUUUCUAUCUCACCCGCAAACCUCAGAAUCCCCUUAAAGUCCUGCCUGAGGCUUCCGACAGAAACAACAGAAACAACGGAAACAACGUCCCACUGAAGACAGCUGAGGACCAGAAACAUCCAACACUGGAGACACUGGAGACACUGGAAACACUGGAGACACUGGAGACACUGGACAUGUUGACCCAUCAGGACCAGCAGAAACAGCAGAUUACAUCACUGUUACAUUCAAGUUUAACUGGAGAGGACACUCUGGGGACCAGUUUACAGAGGCUGAAACUAACUGGAAACCAGUCUAAAGAAGCUGAAACAUCCUGGGAACCAGUUUAAAUCAACUGAAACACACUGGGAACCAGUUUAAAGAGGUUGAAACAUACUGGGAACCAGUUUAAAGAGGUUGAAACAUACUGGGAACUAGUUUAAAGAUACUGGAAACCAGUUUACAGAGGCUGAAACAUAGUGGGAACCAGCUUAAAGAGGCUGAAACAUACUGGGAACCAGUUUACAGAGGCUGAAACAUACUGGGAACCCGUCUGAAGAGGUUGAAGCACACUGGGAACCAGUGAAAAGGGAAUUGAACAUACUGGGAACCAGUUUAAAGGACUGGAACUGGACUGAUGUGGCCUCAUCUUGUGUUCUGAUCAGUAGUUUUGUGGUUCCAGCAGGUAAACAGCUGUUUCCAGGUGUGAUAACAUGAAUUAAAGGAUUUUUGUGAUUGUUGGAGUUUAAACGUCCAAAACAGGAAACAGAUUUUUUAAAAAAGUCAAACUGGUUUCAAACCAACAAAUCCUGGUGGACCAACGACACCACGGCCCCCCCAUCAGACCCCCCCCCCCCCCGAUCAGACCCCCCCCCCACCGUCACGCCGUUCUGGCUGCUGAUUGGCUGCUGUGACGGAUGAUCUUUGGGGUAAAUCCUCUUACGUAAACCAGCAGCAGCUGAGCAGCUCCGUCCAUCUCUGAUGUUUCAUGUCUGUGGAUUAUGAGCUGCAGAAUUAGGAGCUGGUAUUAUGAGUCCGUUAUCCUCUGGGAUGUUUUUUUGUCCGCAGGCCGAGUUACACAACAUCAGGCAACGUUCAGCCGAAGAUACACAAGGCUCAGAGAGACGAAGCCACGAACCGGCAGAAACCAAAUAAAGACUUUAAUAAAGACUCUGAGGGGAAACUGUGGAUGUUUAACACCAAAUAUCAGCUCCAGUCUUUAUCUGAUGACUUCAGGUCAUUAAAGACGCUUUAAAAAUGACAAAACACAGAAAAUCUGCAAAAAGUUCAGAAAGUCUGGCCCAUUUUGGUGUUGAUUCUCACAAUCAGACAUUUAUUCACUGUUUUAUGUCUAAAUAAGCACAUUCUGUAUUAUCUUAUUAAAUAUGUGACAUUUUGCAUCCAUUUCCAGAACACAAAUAUGAACUUCAGCUUCAAAAUUCUUCAAAAACUAGAUAAAAAUCAACAUUUUCUCCAUGUUUAAGGAUAAACAGUGCUAUAAGUCAGACAUUUAUAGACAGAAACUCAACUGGAAAGCUUAAAUAAUCUCCCAAAAAGCAGGAAAAUGAAAAAAAUACCAGAAACACCUGCAAAAUAUGCAUUAAUAAACUUCAUAUCGAGCGAAAACACUGCAGGUGAAACUUCCAUGGCUGAAUAUUUGAAGUAAGACUUCGCUUUUUUCUGGUGUUUCAUGUUUAAAUAUGAAAAUUUUCUAUCAUCCCUGUAAAUUUCUGCUGUUCUAUAGAUUUUCUAGAGCAGAAAUGUGAACUUUGGAUGAAUCCAGAUGAAAAAAUUUUAGUUUUAUUUUGCUCAUAUUUUAUUAAAUCACGUUCUAGUUGAAGGUUUAUACUGGAUAUCUGUGCAGAAAUUGUACAUUUUUCUGUGUUUUUAGUCAUUAAAUGUUCUAUAAUCAGGUUGUAAAUGAAAUCUGAAAUAAAACUGGACAGUUUGUUGGAUGUACAAGCCACUGGAGUGGAAAAUAUCCAAACCUGAAUAAAACGAUAAAACGCUGCAUGCUCACAGAUCUGCUCAAAACUUCAAUCUGACACGAAAAAGUCCAAAAACAGGAAAAAAAAAUGCCCAAAAAGUAGAAACAAAGAAAAUAAAUAUGACAAAUCGGCCAACAAAGACACAAAAAUGACCAAAAAGAGACAAAAACGAACAAAAAAAGAGACAAAUAUGACAGAAAAGAGACUAAAUGACCACAACACAAGAAAAUGUGACCAAAAGCAAAAAGAACAACAAAAACCAAACAUAUCAAAUAUGACCAAAACGAUUUUAAAAAAUCCAAAAACAAGAAAAAUGUGCCCAAAAAGUAGAAAAAAAAGAGAAUAAAUAUGACAAAUCUGACCAACAAAGACACAAAAAUGACAAAAGUGAGAGCAAAAUAGACAAAAAACAGAGACUAAAUGACCAAAACAAGAAAAUGCAACCAAAAGCAAAAAGAACAACAUAAAGACCAAACAUGUUAUAUAUAUGACCAAAAAGGAUUUUUAUAAAUCACCAAAAACAGUUCUAAACAGCAAAAUGAGGUUUAAUCUCAUUAAAUAUGAACUAAAGGACAUUAAAUACACACAGAAAUAAACGGUUUAAUGAUAAAACUAAAUUUUUUUUCUUAAAUUUGGUCGUCAAACACAGAAAUAUUUGCUGUUUUUUUCAGUUCUGUAAAGUUCCUGCUUCAUUUAUUGAUCAUCUGGUUCUUUUUUUCUUGUUUCCAGUAAUUUAAACAAACAUUAUGAUUAAUUUUAACCAGUUUUGUUCAACAUUUUAUCUGGUUUCAUCAGAUCCUAAUAAAAACAAGAUCCGGAUGUUUGUUUUCUGUUCUAAGAGGAUUUUAAAAUGUGCUCGGAGGUUUUAUCUGGUGUAACAAAAUGUAAUAAUCUAUGAAUAAACGAGUUAAAUUGAAA